GCGGUCUUGAACCGCGGUUAUCACGUGGUAUAAAAGCAGAAUUAGUAAUACCUACAUUUCAGAAACCCUUAGUUGAAAGUCGAAACACCACGCGCGUGACGCUGUUGCUCCUGGCCUGUGCAACGAUCUCCGAUCUUCUUGCGUUCUCUGACGAUCUUCUCCGGUGACAUCUCAUCCGGCGUCGAUCUCCUUCGGCGACAUCUCCUACAGCGGCGAUCUCCUCCGAUGACGUCUCCUCCAGCUUCCUCUCCUUGUCGACCUCUGUGUCUUCUCUACCAAAAUCGUCAACACCUUCCUUUCCUUCCUUCUUUCCUUUCUUUCCUUUCCUUUAAUUUCCUUCCUCUGUGAUAAAUCUCUCUUUUAAGGCCAUUUGCGAGGAUUCAUCGUGAGUGGAGAAGUCGAUUCCGCUAUUUGCGCAGCAAGAUCAACAGCAAUUUCUGUUCCGCUGCUCUGCCGCCGCUGACGUUCCUCCAUUUCUCUGCUUGGUGCCUUUGUCACUGUCCCUCACUCUUCCAAAGGGUUUCAAAAAAUGGAAUGAAGGAUUCUGUAAAUUAUCAGAUCAUUUCUCCAAAAGAUCUAGCGAAGUCUGUUUUAUCUGAAGUCGGCUCGUCAACUUUUAUGCGAAGAGCACACUCUUGAAUCAUUUGUUUUAUACCAAUUUCCAAGAGAUGAAUGCUGAUGCUGGAAGGCAAGUAAUUCUUGUUUAAAACAAUCGAAGGAAUCUGGUUGCUCGGUAUGCAGGCAUUAAGCCUUGCACACUUGUGUUGGAUUUGGAGGGAACUGAUGGAAAAGAACAGGGAGAAAAGGCAAAUAAUCAAGACAAAAGAAGGACUGGAGUGAGGAUAGAAAUUAUCAUGACAAAGUGCACCAAAAGCUAUGAUGGAGAUUUUAUGUAUUAAAAGAUACAUGUUAAGACAUUUAUAAUUAAAAAAAUAUUAUGUUAGAUAC